UCUCUCUCUCUCUCUCUGACUGUAUGACUCCUAUCCUCUGUCCUAUGGCAGCUCAGCCUCUUACAUAAGGCUGACCUGGUAAAAUUCCACAGAGCUCACUUGCUCCCUGCUCCUCUAACUUCCAAGUGUUUCACCCCACAGCAACAACAAUUUCUUACUGUUCGAAUCCAGCCGCCCACUCGUAGGAUGUUUUUCCAGCUGCUCACAAACAGGCUACCUCACUUCAAAUAAGGAAGUGGUUCACAUCACCAGUUCCAGCAGGUAAAAACCGCAGCAGGAGAGCAGACAGAGAUCACCGAUAACUCGUCUGAUGAGUCACAGUCCAGCGGAUGACAGAUGAGACCUAUCAGUUAGCUUUGGGAUGUCCACAGAGUGGAACUUCAAUAAAAUGGAUCAGUUACACACAUCCUGGCUGAUGCAAUUUACCAGCAGAGUGUGUUGUCAUGAGAUACUGAAAAAAAAAAAAACGGAUGGAAAAGAACAGAGAGUGCAGCGACAUCUCCCAAGCUCUAUUACAGUAAUUUGUCUCUGUCUUUUACAAAGCACUCACGACUGAAAAUCAAACUAAAUAUGAUUAUAUAAAGUGAUUGUAAUGUUGUUCUUUAUGAGAGCAGCAAGAAACUCUAAUGUUGUGCAAGCAAUGUGCAACAACAAUUUCUUCUAUUCAACAUAUCCAGUAGUGUUUGCAUAUAUUCAACAGCAAGGGUCUGGCACUGGUUGAACACAAACUGUCCUUCCCUCUGGUUCAUUUUCCAUAAUGUCAUCCAGAGUUUACACAGCUGUGAAAACCUGGAUCUCAUUUGCACAAACUGACAGAUAACCGAAUCAGUUGUCACUGCCAUGUCAGAUUUCAAGGUCUGUGGUCAUUCUUUCACUCACUCACUCACUCCUCCCUCCCUCCGACUUUCUGUCCAGGCGGCCUGCUCUGAAUAAAUCAUGCAAUAUCCCCAACACUUAAAAUAGGAUCUCUUCUUUUUGCGUGACCACCGUGCAAGUCAGCUGUUUGCCGAUUCCUUCUUCGUUUCAUUUCAUAACACGCACCGAGCUUCCAGCACAAGGUAAAACACUUCCUUUCGCAGAUUUUUCAACAAGCUCAUAAAAUUCCUACGACUUCAACCCCUUGGGCAACUGUGAGUCAGUCAUCCACUGCUGUGUAAGUAACAGAGCAGACUGGCAGAGAUGAAGCCAAAUACUCUUGGCCCUGAUUUGAACUGUAAAUGGUUUUCAGAGAUGAACAACAGCAAAGAGUUAUUUUUCCCUGACCUGCAGGUUAGUCAUCCCACAGUGCAAACAUCAUUGUUCCAGUCCUUGGACUGUGCUAACACAGCUCUAGGAAUCUGGUUAAUUUGUAGGUACUAUUCGUGGGAUUUUAUCAAAGUUUUUCUCACUGCUGUGUUCAGUUAAAAUGUUGCACACAUGGAUAAAACCACCACAGAAAAGUGUGAUAAGUUUAAGCACUGGCUGAUGUGAUGCGGAGUAAAGGCCCACAGAGUUUACUAAAGAGUUUAAUAAUCGCAGCACAAGUACAAUAAAACAAUGCACCAUAA